UCGGACGUGGUGCACGGUGCACGCCUGCCUCACCUAUAUUCGGUACACCCACAAAUUUGUAGGCAGGAAUCCCGGGUUCGACUCCCGGCGUUCGAA